rnacentral:tRNA from 1 species
UCUCUGGUGGCUCAGAUGGUAAAGAACCUGCCUACAGUGCAGGAGACCUGGGUUCGAUUCCUGGGUUGGGAA